CCCCUCCUCCACACAGGCUCAGAGUCUCAAAAGCCCGGGACAAACACAGUGUCAGGUGUCCCUGAAUGGCUCUGGUGACCCCACUGCGGUCUUCGACCUUUCGUGGAAUCAGUGGGUCACAUGAGCCUGUCCGGCUUGGUGAGGUCAGCCUCUCCUGCCUUAGUCAGGGCAGCCUGUAUCCACACUCCAAGAGGACCCCUCUUUGAGGGACUCAGACUCAGAGGCCAGAAGGGAGAGUGAAAGGGAUGGGAGGGUGGAGAUGAAGGAACUGGAGAACAGAGGGGUCAGGUAAUGUUCUUGCCAUCACACAGAAAGUGGGGGAGCCAGAGUUCCUAGCCAGCCAGCUGGACUUCCAAACCUCGAUCUUCAGGAAAUGAUGAAGUCUGGUUGUUUUGUGGAGGACUGGUGUUAGCCCUUGGGUACACCUUGCUCAACUCCUCGUUGAUGUCUGAAAAGUCGGGGCGUGCUGAGGAUUUGUUCAGGGAGACACCAGCUUGUAGAUACAGGAAUGAGAAGGCAGCUUCUCCUCCAGGUGAGGCCGUCCGGGUCACAUGACUGCCAGUGAAGCCUUCCGGUCAGCGUUGUCUACAGCAUGCCACGGACACGGCAAAUUUAAAUGACUAAUGACCCCGUGGGACUGUGGAAGAGCCUGACAGGAAAUAUGGGAAAAUUAUGUGGUCACAGAAGGCCAAACCAGGGAACCCAGACAGACGUUUCUCCUCAGAGAAAGGGCCACAUCUACAAAUGACCAAGAAGGGAGAGGACAAUAAUCCAGACAUAACUAAUCAUGUGCAGAAUGAAGAACCAAAGCCAUAUGGGUAGGACUAUUAAUAGCCCAGACAUAACUAAUCAUGUGCAGAAUGAAAAAAUAAAACUCUAUGGACUACCAUUUCAAACCCAUUCGGAUAUUCAUUAUUACAACAACAGCAAUAGCAAAAAUCAGAGGAUAAAAAAGUGUUAAUGAAGACCCAGAGGAAUCAGACCCUUUGUGUGCUGCCUGGUGGGCUGGUAAAAUCGUGUAGCCACUGUAGAAAAUAGGGCUUUGGGUCUCAAAAGAAGAAAAUCAAAACAGAAUUGAUCCAGAAAUUUGACUUUUGGGUAUGGAUGUAUCUCAGAGACAACAGCAGGAGCCAGAAGAGGUAUGUGCACACAUGUCUGCACAGCGGCAUGGCUCACAGUAGCUACAGCAUAGACAUCACCUAAAUGCUGACAGACAGACGGACGGAUGGUUGGAUGGAUGGACAAACAAGAUGUGGUCUAUACAGGUGCCGUCGUUAACAAGAAGGGGAUUCUGGAAACUGCUAUAACAUGGGUGAAACUUGAAGUUGUGUUUGUUGAAGUUAACUAGGCACGAAAGCACAGAUAGCGACCGAGGCUAUUUAUCUCAGCUAUGUAGGGCAGUUAGACCACAGAGACUUGAACAUAAUGGUGGUUGCUGGGGACCAGGGGAAGAGGGAUGGAAGGUGAUGUUGGGCAUCCAGCGACACGAAUGAACACCGUCCUUGAACUGUGCUUUUACAAUGGCUAAGACGGUAAAUUUUGCUGCACAGAUUUUUAUCACCGAAAGGUAAUAGAAAAGAAUAAAUAAAGCAAAGUAUUCUGACAUUGUUA